AUGUGAAAUUUUAUUAUUUGAAAAGUAUUUUUAAAACUGAAAAGAGAAGAAGAGAGAAAGAGGCGGGCGGGGAAACGAAAGAGAGGUGUUGAGGAUUGGAUAGUUCCACGCAAAAGAGUAUCUUCUUUCUUCUUCUUCACCACUAAGAAAGUAAGAAGAAGAUUCUUAUCCACUUCUUCUUCGUUUUUUUUCUUUCUAUAUACUUCUAUAUUGUUAUAUCUAAUUAAAAUUCAUUCCCAAAUUGUAUAUACAAUUAAGUUAAAUUAAAAACAGCACUACUUUAUACUUCACUUUCCCCUUCCAAAUUGUGGUGGAGAGUACAAGGCUUUCGUGGAGGACGCAGACAGUUUUUUUGUUUAAGUCGGCUUUAAUCACACCUGGGGUCGUCAUUCUACUGUUUUUUUUUCUUGUAUC